rnacentral:lncRNA from 1 species
AGUCAUUCUGUGGAACUUCCUCUGUGUCUCUCAUUGGAGCCGCCUAACUUCCUCUCCCACCACCCUUCAUCAAAGAGCAGUCUCAUGCCCAGGAGCUAGAAACGUAGGCUUUGCAGAAAUUGUUUGAGCUGUGCUGGGCCCUAGGCAGCAAUGACUCAAACUUGACCCUUAACCCCCAGGCAGGGGUCGCCCUCCCUCCCCGUCCUUAAGUGGGGCGGGCACCUAGCCCAGGGUGGUGAUAUGACCCAGUCCUAGCCAAUCACCAUGGUCCCGCCUCCUGGCUACCACAAUUGGCUUCAGGGAUGAGCACAUGGCCCAUAGCGGCCCAAUGAGAGUCAGCCCUGGGUGGGAACUGGUGGGAAAGAAUUCUGCUGGAGCAUCUGGAGUUGCUCAAAUGGAGUGGCUGCGGCCAUCUUUCCUUCCACGUGGGAAGGAAUCAGCCUGAGAAUGAAACCAUCACAGGAAAGGUCUGAAAGACGGCAAGUUUUCACUGGGUCUUACCCCACGUGAGCCCCCACUCCUCCAUAUGGACCUGUUUUGGACCAAUGAGGCAUCCCCUUCUGUAGUCCUCAACACGCGGAGCUCCAC